rnacentral:tRNA from 1 species
GCGGACGUGGCGGAAUUGGUAUACGCGCAUGCUUGAGGUGCAUGUGGGGCAACCCGUGGGAGUUCAAGUCUCCCCGUCCGCACCA